CGUUAUCCGGAAUAUUGGGCGUAAGCGCGCGUAGCGGUUUUUUAAGUCUGAUGUGAAAGCCCACGGCUCAACCGUGGAGGGUCAUUGGAAACUGGAAAACUUGAGUGCAGAAGAGGAAAGUGGAAUUCCAUGUGUAGCGGUGAAAUGCGCAGAGAUAUGGAGGAACACCAGUGGCGAAGGCGACUUUCUGGUCUGUAACUGACGCUGAUGUGCGAAAGCGUGGGGAUCAGACAGGAUUAGAUACCCUGGUAGUCAAGGGCG
rnacentral:rRNA from 1 species